GGGGAGAGCAGCCCUGUGGCUCUCCCCACCCCCAAACACACACCAAUAUUCUGUAUUUUUAACAGCAGGGCUCUGGUACACAACUUCCUGCAGGAAACGUGAGCCAAGAGUGGGCAGAGCACAGGAAACCCAACACUGCAAAAACUGAACUGCAGGGCCUGACACGUGGAGCCCCAAAUUCCCCUGAGCUGUGACACACAAAAGGGAAUGUCCAGCUGCAGAUUCCCCUGACAGAACUCUUGUGGGUUUGGGCAGAGCAGGAUUUAUUCAUCCUAAACUCAGCUGGAAUCCUGCACCCCAGAAAAGCUCGUCUGAGAACCAAAUUGUACAGGUGGGAUAAAGCAGGAAUAGCUGCAAAUGUCCCAGUGCAGCUGUGGGGAUUCCCUAUAAAAUCACAUCUGAAUUUUACAGGUUGGGAUAAAGCAGGAAUAGCUGCAAAUGUCCCAGUGCAGCUGUGGGGAUUCCCUAUAAAAUCAAAUCCAAAUUGUACAGGUUGGGAUAAAGCAGGAAUAGCUGCAAAUGUCCCCCUGCAGCUGUGGGGACUCAGUGGAGUCACAUCCACAAAAGUCAUGGCACAGCCUGCAGCACUUGUAAGCAAAUCCAGCCAUUUGAAGUCCAAAUUUAUGUCUUUUUUGUCUUUAUUAACCAUCAGGGAGAUGGGGUUGCAUGCAAGAUUCAGCUGAGAGGUAAAAGAAAGAAGGAGUGAGAAAAGAAGUGUUUGGUUUCUCAGUUUGGGAUUGUUGGGCGGGUUUUUUCAUCUGGAAAGCAGAGUUUUCCUCCUUUGCACUUCACUGCUGUGUUCAGUGGCAUCAUGCUGAAAUCUGAAUUUUUGUUAAAGAGAGAACAAAUAAUAACAUUUACUGUUACUUCAUAAAUAUUUCAGUACAUUUUGGAUACUGGGAGUUUUGAAACCAUUGUAGCUCCAGUUUACCACAGAUGUAAAAAUAACCUUGCUCACUUUUAAUCAUCCUUUACAACAUUAUGCAGUUCCUACUUCAGUGCUCACAAACAUCUGUCCCUAAAAGCUCUGUAUGGUAAACAUACCAUACAAAAAUCGAAUGUUUUGGGUUUUUACUUAAUUUCUUAGCUGGAGAUGCAGAAUGCAGAGGUUCCAAGAGAUCUCUGGCUUUAGAAAGCUGAUGACUGGAGGAAAUAGCUGCGAGCUGCCGUGACCAGAGACUUCCUGGUGGGUGGUGGGGAAGUGAGAACACGAGAGAAGGCUGAGGAGGAGACGUAGGUGCACAGCUCAGAGCAGAGCGGGGCUGCAAACCACAUCCCUGCGUCAUCAGAGCAGGACAGCAGCAGCUGAUCAGCAGGGAAACAGGAAAUCCAGCAGCCUGGGUGUCCCUCCUGAGGCCACUGCUCAACACCAGGGCUGGGUUCAUGGCUGGAUGGGUGUCCUGGGGUGAAGGACAGGUGUUUGCCAAUAAAAGCAGAAGUGUGAGGGACAGGUUCUGCCAAGAAAGGCAGGAGCUGGGGGGGGGGGGGGGGGGGGGGGGG
rnacentral:lncRNA from 1 species